rnacentral:misc_RNA from 1 species
UACUGGAGCUGAGGGUUG